AUUGAACGCUGGCGGCAGGCCUAACACAUGCAAGUCGAACGAGUGGCGGACGGGUGAGUAAUGUCUGGGAAACUGCCCGAUGGAGGGGGAUAACUACUGGAAACGGUAGCUAAUACCGCAUACAAUCGGAUGUGCCCAGAUGGGAUUAGCUUGUAGGUGAGGUAACGGCUCACCUAGGCGACGAUCCCUAGCUGGUCUGAGAGGAUGACCAGCCACACUGGAACGGUGACACGGUCCAGACUCCUACGGGAGGCAGCAGGGGGGUAGAUGGCACAAUGGGCGGGAGCCUGAUGUAUCCAUGCCGUGGGGAUGAGGAAGGCCUUCGGGUUGUAAAGUACUUUCAGCGGGGAGUCGUUACCCGCAGAAGAAGCCCCGGCUAACUCCGUGCCAGCAGCCGCUGUAAUUC
rnacentral:rRNA from 1 species